GAUGAACGCUGGCGGCGUGCCUAAUACAUGCAAGUCGAGCGAACAGACGAGGAGCUUGCUCCUUUGACGUUAGCGGCGGACGGGUGUGUAACACGUAGGUAACCUACCUAUAAGACUGGGAUAACUUCGGGAAACCGGAGCUAAUACCGGAUAAUAUUUCGAACCGCAUGGUUCGAUAGUGAAAGAUGGCUUUGCUAUCACUUAUAGAUGGACCUGCGCCGUAUUAGCUAGUUGGUAAGGUAACGGCUUACCAAGGCAACGAUACGUAGCCGACCUGAGAGGGUGAUCGGCCACACUGGAACUGAGACACGGUCCAGACUCCUACGGGAGGCAGCAGUAGGGAAUCUUCCGCAAUGGGCGAAAGCCUGACGGAGCAACGCCGCGUGAGUGAUGAAGGUCUUCGGAUCGUAAAACUCUGUUAUUAGGGAAGAACAAACGUGUAAGUAACUGUGCACGUCUUGACGGUACCUAAUCAGAAAGCCACGGCUAACUACGUG
rnacentral:rRNA from 1 species